rnacentral:rRNA from 1 species
GACAGAGGGGGCAAGCGUUGCUCGGAAUUACUGGGCGUAAAGGGCGCGUAGGCGGGAUGGCAAGUCGGUCGUGAAAUCCCUCGGCUCAACCGAGGAACGUCGAUCGAUACUGCUGUUCUUGAGGAUUGCAGAGGAGACUGGAAUUCCCGGUGUAGCGGUGAAAUGUGUAGAGAUCGGGAGGAACACCGGUGGCGAAGGCGGGUCUCUGGGCAAUUCCUGACGCUGGGGCGCGAAAGCGUGGGGAGCAAACGGG